rnacentral:rRNA from 1 species
AGAUUGAACGCUGGCGGCAUGCCUAACACAUGCAAGUCGAACGGGAGUAGCAAUACUCUAGUGGCGGACGGGUGAGGAAUACGUAGGAAUUUGCCCUUAAGUGGGGGAUAACCCGGGGAAACCCGGAUUAAUACCGCAUGACCUCGAAAGAGCAAAGUGGGGGAUCGCAAGACCUCACGCUUUUGGAGAAGCCUACGUCGGAUUAGCUAGUUGGUGAGGUAAUGGCUCACCAAGGCGACGAUCCGUAACUGGUCUGAGAGGAUGAUCAGUCACACCGGAACUGAGACACGGUCCGGACUCCUACGGGAGCAGCAGUGGGGAAUAUUGGACAAUGGGCGCAAGCCUGAUCCAGCAAUGCCGCGUGUGUGAAGAAGGCCUUCGGUUGUAAAGCACUUUAAGUUAGGGAAGAAAAACUCGACUCUAACGACAGUGAGUCUUGACGGUACCGACAGAAUAAGCAACCGGCUAACGUCUAGUGCCAGCAAGCCGAC